UUCUAAAAGCUAGGGAGCUGGUUGCAGGGAGAGGACUACAGUCACUCGCCCUGGGAGCGCGGGAAGAAAGAGGAACUUAUUGCCAAGACAAAGGAUUUGUCUGACAAAUCCAGAGGAAAGGGGAUUGGCUGGAAGUGUGGGGAAUGCGAGCCUGGGAUGGGUAAGGUAGAAAGUAGUACAGAGGAGUAUUAGAAAGGUUUAUCAUUACCCAGACCUUCGCUGCUGGAUAUAGGGCCUUGGACUGGAACCCAGAGUAUAGGGUGAGCCUGGUUCCCCUACCAGCCACUGGCACAAUCUGGGAAGUGAACUUUGAUGCUGUCUAGACCAUGCAUUCUAGCUACUGAGGGAGUCGCCCAGCAAGGGCAGUGGUGUAAGGAUUUUCUGGGACAGUGAGGAAGGAGUUAUUACCAUGGAUGAGGAGGCUAAACCACGAAGGCAAGGUGCUGCAGCUCCUGAAGACCAAGAAAGGGGCAGCAGACAAAGAGAGCAAGAUGAGGGGCAGAGGAACUGCAGGAAGAAGGCAUCAGGCUGAAAGAGCCAAUCCCCAGAUUAGCCAGUAGGAAGUGUGCUCUGGCAGUGAGUAGAGUACCCCAGGACAGUCUGAUUUGCAAAGAUAGUUAAGUACCAAAAGAGGCAGAUCACUGACUGUAAAACUGACCAUACAAAAUCAAGAGGGGAGAGUGCGAACGCGGUCCUCCACUACCACAAAUUAUGCAGUCGAGUUUCCCGCAUUUGGGGAAAUCGCAGAGAUCAGCGCACCCUCAGUGCAAUGGAUGAGCCUCAUCCUGGCAAAACCACCUUCGUGAUCAUGGUAUCUCCCCUGCCAGGAUUUUCUUUAUACACUUAACUGAGUAGUUAAUCAGUCGGCUGACUGGCUAGCAGAGAUUUCAGCAGAGGAAGAGUCUGCAUGGGUUCCAACUGAAGAUUCCUACAAGCAAGUGGAGGGAAGAUGUUGUUUUAGACCAGGGGUGGGAAAACUAAAGCCUGGCCCGUGAGCUCCAGCCGGGGCGCCGGGUCAGGGGCCACACCACAUGGCUCGGCCCCACUCCGGGUCGGGGACUGCAAGCCAUGACUCCCAGAAGCUGCAGCAUGGCCCCGCUGCAAGGGUUGGGGGUCGCUCCACGCAUAGGAGCUGGGGAAGCGACAUGCUACUGCUUCCAGGAGCCGCUUGAGCCAGGAUUCAAACCUUUUGGGGCACUGAGUGUUCCUGAUUCCUGAAGAAAAAGACACCACACCACAACUUCUGUGGCACUUUAUGAUAAACCUUGUUCAUUCCUGUCUGUGAGUUUCAAAUCUUGGCUUUUCCUCAGUACAAAGGCUGAACAGUUAGUCACUGUCGAAAUAUGAGACACUAUUGGCCAGGUAUAAUGCUUUUUUGAUAUCUCAUAUAAAGUUACAUUGAAAAUAUAAGAAGAAUCUACAUUGGACCUGAUCCUGCCCUCAGUUGUGUGGAUGUAGAUCAAGAUUAACUCCGCCAAAGUCAGUGGAGUUACACUAAUGUAAAACCAAUGUAAAUGAUAUUAGAAGAAGACUCAGAGUGGUUUUGAUAUGUAAAUAAAUUAAGUGUUGAUCUUUUUUGUUUUAAAAGAUUUAUAGUAUGUUCACUGGAAACAAGCAAAGCCUUGUUUUGUUAAUCAUUUAUUGCAACAUUAUACUUGCUGAAAAUGGUUCCUUUUCAGCCACAGUUGCUUUGGAUUCUUUCCACAUUGCACAAUUAUUACUAAAUUGUUACUAAAACUGAAUAGCAAGGUGAAAAUAUUAUUGAAGAGGAAUAUGCUUCUCUUUCCUUGCUUUAACAUGUUUGUGUGGAUAUAUAAAAUGGGUUGUACCCAUGGAAGUGAUUUCUAGGAGCUGUAGCUACUUAGUUUAAUGACAUACAUUUGUUAUAAUUUAUAUGAAUGAAAUAAUUAUAUGGUGUUAGUAUGGUAGUGUGGAAGAUGGUGCUUGAAUUUUUUUGGCCAGGUUCUCAGUUGGUGUGAAUUGGUGUAGCAUCAUUGAAGUCAAUGUGUCUGAGAUGAUUUACACCAAUUGAAGAUCUGGCUCAAUAUUUAGAAAAGAAGUUGAUUGCAAGAUACUUAGUGUUCUGAAAGAAAUUUUCAAAGUUCUUUCCGUAUGCUGAAUUCCCAAUCAAAUCACUGAGUCCUCUAUUAUUCAUAUACAUAUCUGCAGAUAGCUUACUGGUUCUGCUUAUGAAAGAUCAUUGCCCAUUUCCUUUUCAUUAAUCUUUUAGGGCUGUAUCCAGUUUUGUUCUGCACCCCACCUGCAUGAAAGCCUGUGAAAUAGUUGGCUGAAGGUUGGUAAAGGUUGGCAUUUUAUGACAUAUUCCACAGAAAUUUUCAAA